UCUUUGUGACCCAAAAUUGCUAUAAAACUUGACCGUGUCCUAUGAUUCAGUUUUAUAAAAACUUGUACGUUUGAGAAAUCCCAAAUUAUUUAAAUAAUUUCGUCGAUUUUUUUUAUAUUUUAACAAAGGUCAUUUCUCUUUGGCUUACCUACUUAUUGAGUCUUUAUCUCGUCAUCAUAAAAAUGAUAAACUAUACCUGAUUAAGAUUAUAUUUCAUAUCACCACCAAGUCAAGUGGAGUUGAGAGUGGUUGCGUGACACUUCUCAUCAACAAAAUAACAAUUUAAGCUUUUAACAUUUGUAUUUUUUUUAAUAAACCAGCUGCACACGGCCUCAACGUCAUCGUCAUUAUGAAUCAUAUCUUAAACGAAAAGCAUAGCAUUAAAAACAAAUUAACAAACAAACCAAAAAAAAAACUAGGUUUUACGAUCGUUAAGUUAAUGGUGGAAGCUAUAUGGCUACGCCAGUAUAUUACUAAGCAAACAAAUGAAUAUUGCACACCGCACGAAAAAUUGUUUCAUAUAAAACCUGACGCCCGCUUAAUUGUGACAUCAUUCAGAUAAAGUGCGAUCGUGGAUCAAACGCUCCAAAAAGCUUCAAAAUAUAAUUUCAAAAAAAAAAUUAAUAACAAUCUAAUCGAAAUGCCUUGUGGAGGUUGUAAAACUGAUUGCAAAUGUGCCGGUGCCGGUCAAAAGUGUGGAGAGAAUUGCGGCAAGGGACAAGAUUGCAAGUGUAAUAAAAAAACCGAAACGGAAACUAAGGGAGGAUGUUGCAAAGGCAAAGGAAAUUGUCAUUAGAUUGAUAUUUUAAAUAGUUUAUGUUAAUAAUUGAUAAGUCUUUAAUCAUAAGAAUGUGUACUUACUAGUCUAUUUAUAAUUAUUUAAUAAUAAAAAAAAAAAACAAUUAAUUAAUGUGUUGUUGACAAAGUUCUAAAUUUAAA